GGUACAGCAACAACAGGUCUGUUUAAUGACACAGCUGGGUCUGGUUACAAACAUCAGAAACUAGAAAAGGAGGACAGGCAGUUACACAGAUGAAGAUGAGGAUGGGCCAGGAGGGGACACAGGCAUAGUAGCCACAGCAGCAAAACAUCCUUGGAGACGAUACAUGUGACCAAGGGGCACACAUGGGGGCCCCCCAGCAAGGCUGGCGCACAUGAAUAGACGGGGCCGACUGCCGGCCAGGAGGAGAGGGGGGUGGGGAAAGCCCUCAGCCCUCAGGGCUGAGGGGGAGACCCAGGCAUGUGGUCUCGCCAACCUGCUGCCCAGCAGCCCGGAUUCCCCGGGGCUACCCUGGUGGCCAAGGCAGGUGGAGCUGGCGGUGGAGGUUUCUGGAUGGAGGCCCCUCCACUAGUGCGCUCAUCCCAUCCAGAACUUCGCUCUGCCCUUGCCCAUUCUAGGGCAGUCAAGAGCCCAGCGACGUGGAUGGGGCAGCUAGGGGCAGCAGCGUGGACGCGGACCCUCAGUCCUCAGGCAGGGAGAAAGGACCUCUGAAGUAAGCCCUCACCUCUGCAGGUGGGGCUGAGGCCCAGAGACUGAGACCAGCUGGCCCAGGCAGCUCAGGUCCUGGUUCGUCUCCUAGCCCAGGAGGAUGCUGUGGGAGACGGAGUAGCAGCAAGAGGGAGAAUGGGGGGAAGCAGCACUAGAGAAAUUCCCAGAGCUCAUCCUGUCACUGGCUGCUCUGCUGAAAUUAUCAAUAAGAAAUGCCAGUUGGAUCUGUGACAUGUCUGCCUGCAGCUGGAUGGGAGCAACUGACAGCUUGUCCUCCGAAUGUGUUUUCUGUAUGUGCACGAGCGCAUGUGUUCCAAACGGGCAGUAGCGUGUGGGAAGGAAAAAGCCUGACACUUGUUUUUGUCAAUUUGCUGAUGCUCAGUCCCGGCGGCUGCCUUCUUUGCCCCCAGCUGCUCUGCCAUUUCUCUUUUUCCAAUUCUGCGCGAUCCUGAGCAGAGAUAAAAGCAGAUUUCCGCUUCUGCUCCCAGAUCCAGGCGCAGACCCUGCAGGCAGCUGCUCCCGACGUCUCACAGCUAUUAGUCUUCAAAAGCCCCCCGUGCCUCUGUGCACACACGUCUCUCCUCCCCAGCCAGCCCCCCUCCCAGUCCAGUGGCGUUGUCUCUGCCUGGCUGGCCCUUGCCCUUGACUUCCAGGCAGUAGGAGAUGGAGUUCUCUAGACAGCAGCACCUCAGCCGCCGCUCCGCCUCUGAAGGGAGGGAAGGGAAAGGGGUGCUGGCUACUGUGCAAUAACAGAGUCCAAGAGCAAGAUGUCCAGAGUCAGAGCUCCUGGGUGUGAACCUUGUUCCACCAGGACAUCCUACCUCUGUGGCCUGGGUUUCUGAACACCUCUGUGCCUCAGUUUCUUUAGCUGUAGGAUGCAGAUCCUACUGGUAUCUGUGUCUUAGAGUUGUUGUAAGGGUUGAUUAGAUAACGCGUGGAAGAUGUUUAGCACAUUGGGUAAGUGUCCCAUAUAUGUGAGCUGGCACAAUCCGGUUUGAACUGUAAAUUACUGAACAGUGGUAGAUUCAGGAUGGCUAGAGUUCCUCACAUCUUCACUCUGUGAUCCUUCCUGCUGUCUUUCCACAUAUACAGAGCUGGGCGACCAGUAGUUCUGCAACAGAUUAGAGGAUGGCAGAGGGUGGCAUUGCUGGGGUGGGGAAGCCCCCUGUAAGCCUGUAUGGAGAAGACCACCUCUACCUCUCUGUGCCCAGAACCAUGUCCCAAUCUCCAGUGGGGCCUCGACCUGGACACUGCCACUCCCAGCUGGCUCUGCUUCCGGAAUGAACCUUAGCUCCUUGACAAGAUGGGAGGCGCUGCCCUGCCGUGGUGCCUUCCUCCGUGUGAAUGCUAAUCUCUCUGCUGGGGGAGCCUGAGUGACAGGGAAAGGCUGCUUGGAACUGCAGGGCGGCUGAGGGCAGCAGCCAGGAGCAGGGAGGUGCUGCUCCUGCGACUGAGGCUCAGGGUGGCUGCCAGUCUCUCCUGGAGACUGGAGCAUGACCAGGGAACGAAUGAGGUGGCGGGGGUGUGGUGGGAGCGAGGGAAGUAGCCACCACAGCUGUGGCUGUCCACUGUCACCCUGGGGUGUAGAUGUCACCCUGGGGAGUACCCACCCACUCCAAGUGUGCGCUUGUGUGUGUGUGUGGUUGUGUGUGUGUGGGGUGCGCAGACAGUCCUGGGCAAGGGCAAACAGCAGAGGUGCUGGGCCAAGACUAGAUGGGUAGGGCACGGUGCCUGCUCUGAGACAGGCACGAUGGCGAGAGAGCAAACCCUGCUGGUUCCUCAGGCUCCUGUAGCCCCUCUGCUGUUAGGAAGAAGCCCAAGACCUAGAGCUAGAAGAUAAUGCUUCUUUGUGAACCUCAGAAGAACAUCAAAGUGGUUCGCACGGAAGCUUAUGUUAAUAUAAUGAUGAUACUAACCAUAUGAUUAAUAACCACUAACAUGCAUUAGGCGCUUACUAUGUGCUAGGCACCGUGCCAGCUGCUGUAUUUUACCCACUAUUUCAUUUAUGCGACAGGAACAGUUAUCAUUUAUCCAAUAAGGAAAGUGAGGUUCACCGAACUUGCUUAAGGUCACUCAUAGCUGGCAGCGAAGCCAGGACCUAAGCCUGGGAAAUUUGAUGCCAAAGCUUGGGAUAGAGGGAGCCGAGUCUCGAGUUGGGGGCCGUGAGAAAAUUCUGGUUGUGACCUGUCUACAAGGCACAAGGAAUGGAGCUGUGGGCCUGCCUGCGCUGCCUUUGCAGGUGGGCUGGUGUUGGCCAGGGUCAUCACCACUGUUCUGUCUUCAGGAACUCACAUUCAAGGGCACACCAGACUCUGGGCCCUGAGAGGCUGCUUCUUGCCUGCCAGGUGAGGGGGAGAGGACAGCUGCCCCUUUAGGAUCCCCCAGUCUUCCACAGGGAGGACGUGGUGGCCCCUGGCAGGGAUGACAGACAGCGAGGUCAUCACCCACACUCACUGCCACUGCCACUGCCACUCUGUUGCCUCCUUCAGCCAGGGGCAGGGCCCUGGGGAGAGGACAGGACGGUAGCUAGCAGCCCAUCUGGAGACGGGAGCCUGUCCUUCAGCUCCUACUUAAUGGAAGCCUUGCAGAUGCAAGAUGGCUCCAGCAGGCCCAGCAUCACUUCUUCACAGUGUCCCAAAGCAAGAAAAAAGGCUGUUGUUUUUUAAAGCAGGAAAACUUUCCCAAACUUGGCCAGAAUUGCAUCGCAGACCCUUUCCCAAAACAAUUUCCAGCGAAGGGAAUAGACUGACCAUGUCUGGCACAGAUGAAUGAAGAUUUGCCCCUGGGGGCUAGGGAGGGGCUUGCCCCCGCUGAAGCAGACCCUUGCCCAGCAGCUGAACAGAGCCUAGGUUCAUCAGAUGGAGGAAGAGACUGGCCGCUAACAGUGCCUGACAUACAGAUGUGCUUCCUGUGAUGCCGCUGCUGCCACCGCUCCAAAUGUAAGCAGUCAGCUGCUUGGGAUACUACCUACCUUCUUUUGUGUUCUUAUUAAUACAAUUAAAGAUUGCUUUCUGGGUAGAGAAAUU